ACCAUAAUCAGCUUAUCCAGGAAAGCACCCCGAUCUGUGACUCCAAUUUCCAGUUCACAAACAUCAGGGGCAGUUUGUUUGCAUUUGUGUGUUGGACCAACACAACAAUACAAACAAAAAGAUUUUGAAGAGUUAAAGUUCAGCAAUUGUAUGUAUUCUUCAUAAUUACCAUCUUAUCUUAUUGAGACAUUUGACAUCUUUCAGAUUAUCAUUUGCAAAAUCUGCGGCCUGUGGUGGCAAGCAAACUAGUAAUAACAUAUCAUAAAGUUUUACAAGAGCAUUCAGUGUUCAUUAUUUUAUUUUGGAAUGCUCUGUUUUAUUCCCCAAAUGUUAACUUCUCUCUUAAGAACAGAGAACUGAAUUUAUAUUUAAAACAGCGAGGAAAACAGAGAAAAGAAAAGAAAAAACUUUAAAUAAAUUAAUUAAAAAAAAAAAAAACACAGACACACACAAUCUAAAGAUUUAAAGGUUUAUACCCCAUGAGUUGAAGCAAACCACAGCAUUACGUCAUGGGUUGUAGAGAGAGCUCGAGGCAUGGAAGAUGGCAAGAGCUGGGUUGAAAGGGGUGAAUAGCAGUUGAGGAGAGUCAGAAUGGAAGGGGGUGGUUAAAGUAGUUGAUAUGCAGCAACGCAGUCGUUUGAGAUAUGUGAAGAGGAUUGGGGAUUUUAGUUCUCGUUCCUGUCACAA